rnacentral:RNase_MRP_RNA from 2 species
UCCUCGCUCAAAAGAUCGCAAUCAAAGCUGACAAACCGACUACCUUUGGUGGUCCAGCAACACAUACAGCUUUGGGAGAAAGUCCCCGGACAGCCGGACUCUUUGGGCCCGGUUUGCGGAAACGCGCCGCCAUAAAAGCACGUACAGCGGCUCAUCUCGACUACAGCCUCCAUCCCUCCUUGCAAAUCUCCUUUACCGUCUGCACUCUUUCUUGGAUACCCUGCGGCUCGGACUAAUGAGACUUAAGGACCGCUGGCUUCGGCCAGUGCCUGGCGACAGGAGACGAGGAUAUGAGUCUGCUCCUUGUGCUCUCGUCAGUCUCUGCGGCCGCAAGGUGGAAGAGGGGGAGGAGGUGAGGAGGAUCUUGUGCAAAGAGAAAAGGUGGUACUCAGGUUGUUGUUGAGAGCUUUUCGUCGUGGUUGAUAGAUAUGCGAUUGCCUGCUCCUUGCUUGCGGACACAUCUCACAAGAUUUGCUGACUGCAAAGCUCGGAAUACGGUAACUCGAUGGGGCUUAUUCUUGAUGCGAGG